GAUGAACGCUGGCGGCGUGCCUAACACAUGCAAGUCGAACGGAGUCGUUUUGGAAAUCUCUUCGGAGAUGGAAUUCUCGACUUAGUGGCGGACGGGUGAGUAACGCGUGAGCAAUCUGCCUUUAAGAGGGGGAUAACAGUCGGAAACGGCUGCUAAUACCGCAUAAAGCAUUAAAUUCGCAUGUUUUUGAUGCCAAAGGAGCAAUCCGCUUUUAGAUGAGCUCGCGUCUGAUUAGCUAGUUGGCGGGGUAACGGCCCACCAAGGCGACGAUCAGUAGCCGGACUGAGAGGUUGAACGGCCACAUUGGGACUGAGACACGGCCCAGACUCCUACGGGAGGCAGCAGUGGGGAAUAGUGCGCAAUGGGGGAAACCCUGACGCAGCAACGCCGCGUGAUUGAAGAAGGCCUUCGGGUUGUAAAGAUCUUUAAUCAGGGACGAAACAAAUGACGGUACCUGAAGAAUAAGCUCCGGCUAACUACGUG
rnacentral:rRNA from 1 species